UACGAAGGGGGCUAGCGUUGCUCGGAAUCACUGGGCGUAAAGGGUGCGUAGGCGGGUCUUUAAGUCAGGGGGGAAAUCCUGGAGCUCAACUCCAGAACUGCCUUUGAUACUGAAGAUCUUGAGUUCGGGAGAAGUGAGUGGAACUGCGAGUGUAGAGGUGAAAUUCGUAGAUAUUCGCAAGAACACCAGUGGCGAAGGCGGCUCUCUGGGACGGUACUGACGCUGAGACGCGAAAGCGUGGGGAGCGAACAGG
rnacentral:rRNA from 1 species